CAACAACGGAUCUCUUGGCUCUCGCAUCGAUGAAGAACGCAGCGAAAUGCGAUACGUAAUGUGAAUUGCAGAAUUCAGUGAAUCAUCGAAUCUUUGAACGCACCUUGCGCCCCUUGGUAUUCCGAGGGGCACACCCGUUUG
rnacentral:rRNA from 1 species